CAGUCGCCGCGGGAAAACGGAGGGGGCUAGCGUUGUUCGGAAUUACUGGGCGUAAAGCGCACGUAGGCGGCUUGGUAAGUUAGAGGUGAAAGCCUGGAGCUCAACUCCAGAAUUGCCUUUAAGACUGCCGAGCUAGCAGGUGAGAGAGGUAAGUGGAAUUCCGAGUGUAGAGGUGAAAUUCGUAGAUAUUCGGAAGAACACCAGUGGCGAAGGCGGCUUACUGGCUCAUACUGGACGCUGAGGUGCGAAAGCGUGGGGAGCAAACAGGAUUAGAUACCCCCGUAGUCCCUGUCUCUUAUAC
rnacentral:rRNA from 1 species